AAAGUCGUAACAAGGUUUCCGUAGGUGAACCUGCGGAAGGAUCAUUAACGAGUUAGGGUCUUUCUGGCCCGACCUCCCAACCCUUUGUCUACUUGACCAUCGUUGCUUCGGCGAGCCCGUCCUCCUGGACCGCCGGAGGGACCCUCAUCGGCCCUCUGGUCCGCGCUCGUCGGUAGCCCAACUUUAAAAAUCUUUAACUAAACGUGUCUCAAUCUAAGUACUAUUAUUAAAUAAAAGCAAAACUUUCAACAACGGAUCUCUUGGUUCUG
rnacentral:misc_RNA from 1 species